GGGGGUGGCAUCUUUUAACUGCCCUGUGCUGUUUUCUUCUCUCGUUGUAAUAGCUACAGCGAACAUAAUUUCACCCCGUGAUUCCACCACGGUCUCAUCCGUCCUCAGCACCACACUCAUUGCUCCCCUUGCUCAGUUUCAUACUCAGCGCAGCCGUUCGCCUUCACUGCCCUGCCUAGGCGUUUUCAUGGUUGUCUUAUAUUCUUUUACUUUGAAUAUCGUGGUUUAAUAGCAGUUGCCGGUGUGCUAAAUUCCUCAUUUCCUUAAGAGAAACUCCUGGGAGGAUGGAAUUAAAGACGUUGCAAAUUUAAUUAUACCACAAACAGGAAUCAAAAUUUUGCAUUAAAAUGCCAGACAUCUUGAAAAAUUUAACUAUUCAAUAAAA
rnacentral:lncRNA from 1 species